rnacentral:rRNA from 1 species
CUUCUCCUGGAAACGGGUGGUAAUGCCGGAUGCUCCAGUUGAUCGCAUGGUUUUCUGGGAAAGCUUUCGCGGUAUGGGAUGGGGUCGCGUCCUAUCAGCUUGACGGCGGGGUAACGGCCCACCGUGGCUUCGACGGGUAGCCGGCCUGAGAGGGCGACCGGCCACAUUGGGACUGAGAUACGGCCCAGACUCCUACGGGAGGCAGCAGUGGGGAAUAUUGCACAAUGGGCGCAAGCCUGAUGCAGCGACGCCGCGUGAGGGAUGGAGGCCUUCGGGUUGUAAACCUCUUUUAUCGGGGAGCAAGCGAGAGUGAGUUUACCCGUUGAAUAAGCACCGGCUAACUACGUGCCAGCAGCCGCGGUAAUACGUAGGGUGCAAGCGUUAUCCGGAAUUAUUGGGCGUAAAGGGCUCGUAGGCGGUUCGUCGCGUCCGGUGUGAAAGUCCAUCGCUUAACGGUGGAUCCGCGCCGGGUACGGGCGGGCUUGAGUGCGGUAGGGGAGAC